rnacentral:rRNA from 1 species
AGAGUUUGAUCCUGGCUCAGGACGAACGCUGGCGGCGUGCUUAACACAUGCAAGUCGAACGAUGAAGCCCUUCGGGGUGGAUUAGUGGCGAACGGGUGAGUAACACGUGGGCAACCUGCCCUCCACUCUGGGAUAACUCCGGGAAACCGGGGCUAAUACUGGAUAUGACCUUCUGGCGCAUGCUGGUGGGUGGAAAGUUUUUCGGUGGAGGAUGGGCCCGCGGCCUAUCAGCUUGUUGGUGGGGUGAUGGCCUACCAAGGCGGUGACGGGUAGCCGGCCUGAGAGGGCGACCGGCCACACUGGGACUGAGACACGGCCCAGACUCCUGCGGGAGGCAGCAGUGGGGAAUAUUGCACAAUGGGCGGAAGCCUGAUGCAGCGACGCCGCGUGAGGGAUGACGGCCUUCGGGUUGUAAACCUCUUUCAGCAGGGACCAAGCGUGAGUGAGUGUACCUGCAGAAGAAGCACCGGCUAACUACGUGCCAGCAGCCGCGGUAAUACGUAGGGUGCGAGCGUUGUCCGGAUUUAUUGGGCGUAAAGGGCUCGUAGGCGGCCUGUCGCGUCGGGAGUGAAAGCCCACUGCUUAACGGUGGGUCUGCUUUCGGUACGGGCGGGCUAGAGUAUGGCAGGGGAGACUGGAAUUCCUGGUGUAGCGGUGGAAUGCGCAGAUAUCAGGAGGAACACCGGUGGCGAAGGCGGGUCUCUGGGCCAUUACUGACGCUGAGGAGCGAAAGCGUGGGGAGCGAACAGGAUUAGAUACCCCCGUAGUCC